ACUCAAUCAGGCGGAGUUUAUUUUCUCUAUGGAUAUGGUGGCACUGGCAAGACCUUUGUCUGGAAAACUUUAUCAUCUACCAUACACUCUAAUAGCGGCAUUGUUUUAACAAUGGCUUCAAGUGGGAUUCUUUCGAUGUUGUUACCCGGGGUAGAACAACACAUUCUAGAACAAGUGGGAUUGCUUCAAUACUGCUACCCAAGCAUUCUACAAAUAUAAUAUACUACGUUUUUUACUUUACUGUUACCUACACUGCUUUGAACAACAC
rnacentral:lncRNA from 1 species